rnacentral:lncRNA from 1 species
AUUUCAAGCGACUCCUUUCUCAACUGGCCUGAAAGAUCUUCAUUGUAUUCUCCCAAUUCUCGGACCUGAGCUUCCAGUUUCAGGAUCUGGGCAUCGCGAAGUUCCAACUGAUGUUGCUACGGACUCAUCCCUUCUAGGACAUCUUCAAUCGAUACUUGAGAUUGGCUCCUCACAGUUAACUCUUCUGUCAGUUUUGACACCUCAUUU